GACAGAGGGGGCAAGCGUUGCUCGGAAUCAUUGGGCGUAAAGCGCACGUAGGCGGUUUGUUAUGUCGGAUGUGAAAGCCCUUGGCUCAACUGAGGAAGUGCAUCCGAAACUGGCAAGCUAGAGUACUAAAGAGGAUCGCGGAAUUCCCGGUGUAGCGGUGAAAUGCGUAGAUAUCGGAAGGAACAUCAGUGGCGAAAGCGACUUCCUGGACCAAUACUGACGCUCAUGUGCGAAAGCGUGGGGAGCAAACAGG
rnacentral:rRNA from 1 species